rnacentral:tRNA from 1 species
AGGGUAUUAGUCCAAUACAAGACCUCUGAUUUCGGCUCAGAAGAUUAUGGUUUAAAUCCAUAAUUCCCUU